CUUUAGCACUUGCAGUGUUAAAACAGCUCUGGGGGCGGAGUUAUUGCGGCGAGUUAAGUGAUGCUCUCCUGACCGAGUUACUUGCACAUCCGGUUUCAACGCGCUCUUUCUUCUUGAAGUCACGGUGAAGAAAACCCGUGGUCAGGAAGAUAUUUAGCUGUUAUUUCAGAAGGUAAGUACACAUUAUAUUUACUUCUACAGGCUGUUCAUCUUCAUAUGAAAUGAUGUGUUAACUUCAAGUGUGGUGAGACGUGUUUUAUAUUUUAGUGAAGCUUGUGACUAAUAGCUAACUUAACGUUUGCUAACGUUAGUUGGUUGAAGGGAGGAGAAAUAAGACAGGAAGUGUAACAUCAGUCAAUAAAUAUGUAUGAACCUGUUCAAACUGGCCGAGCAUAUUUAAUUCCAGGCCAAAAUAAUAAAUAGACUUUUUUUCUUACAGUAAAUUUCUUGAAGAAUAUUUAACUUAAUUAUGCCACAUUAUUUUGCCAUCAGAAAUUCGACGAUCCACCAUGACAGGACAUAAACGAGAGUUUCCGGUACUUCUGCCUCAAGGGCUAGCUUUACUAACGGUAGUUUCGCGGUACUGCUGUGUCGAGGGCUAACGGUAGUUUCGCGGUACUGCUGUGUCGAGGGCUAACGGUAGUUUCGCGGAACUGCUGUGUCGAGGGCUAACGGUAGUUUCGCGGAACUGCGGUCUCGCUGUCAUGCAUUUCACCGGCGUAUGGUUUAAUUGGCUGACUUUUAUCGCAGGCAUAUGCUAAACUGCGACAGGGACUAAAGAGGAAAAAGCGAGUGCCUAAUUGAUACCAAAACGUUUCUGCAAGAUAUCACCAUGCUGCUGAAGGUGAGAUACCAGAGGACCAAGAAGUCCAUCCCAUUACAGCUAGGUUUCACCUAUUUUGAAUUCAUCACUGCAGUCAAAAACAAAUUUGGACUCCAUGAUGCAGCUGAACUUCACAUAUUUGAUGAAACUGACACCGCAGUGGAGGAAGACAUUCUUCUUGAACUGAUAGAGUCCAAUCCAGACCUUUGCCUGAUCGUGCGUGACAGCAUUUCAGAUGAAGAUCAUUCAACACCAUCUUCUCUCACGGAUACCAUGACGCUUUCUUCAAGUGACAAUGACCUCUCCGGUCAAAGACAAAGGGGGAUUUUGAGCUCUGAGGUCAUGGACAGGUCUA